GGCUCGAUUCUCUGGCUGAGUGACCGGGGUCCUCUAUGUGUGGAGUUUGCAUGUUCUCCCCAUGUCUUCGUGGGGUUCUUCCGGGUUCUCCGGUUUCCUCCCAGAGUCCAAAGACACUUUCAUCUGGAUUCAGAAAUUCCAGAAAUUCCACAAAAAAUCCCUUCUCGUCUGAGCGCACAAGAUGGCAGACAGCAAAGAACUUUAUAUUUGAAGAGGUGCGGCACGGUGGUGCGG